AAUAAACGCUGGCGGCGUGCCUAACACAUGCAAGUCGAGCGAGAAAGCUCUUUCGGGAGUGAGUAAAGCGGCGAACGGUUGAGUAACACGUGAGAAUCUACCCUUCAGUGAGGAAUACCUCCGAGAAAUCGGUGUUAAUACUGCAUACGUCCCUUCGGGGAGAAAGGUGGCUUUAUGCUGCCGCUGAUGGAUGAGCUUGCGGGCUAUCAGUUAGUUGGUGAGGUAAUGGCUCACCAAGACUAUGACGGCUAGCCGGCCUGAGAGGGUGUACGGCCAGACUGGAACUUAGACACGGUCCAGACUCCUACGGGAGGCAGCAGUGGGGAAUAUUGCGCAAUGGGCGAAAGCCUGACGCAGCGACGCCGCGUGAAGGAUGAAGGUCUUCGGAUUGUAAACUUCUGUUAAGUGGGAAGAAAGACACAUCUCUAAUACAGAUGUGGGAUGACGGUACCAUUAGAGAAAGCACCGGCUAACUUCGUGCCAGCAGCCGCCGUAAAAC
rnacentral:rRNA from 1 species